CACGCUGUAAACGAUGAAUGCUAGGUGUAGGAGGUAUCGACCCCUUCUGUGCCGCAGCUAACGCAAUAAGCAUUCCGCCUGGGGAGUACGGCCGCAAGGUUGAAACUCAAAGGAAUUGACGGGGGCCCGCACAAGCAGCGGAGCAUGUUGUUUAAUUCGACGCAACGCGAAGAACCUUACCAGGGCUUGACAUCCAAUGAAUCUUGUGGAAACACAGGAGUGCCCUUCGGGGAACAUUGAGACAGGUGG
rnacentral:rRNA from 1 species